AUGGACUGGCUGGAAUAUCACAGCCCUAUGCUCAUUGACUGGCCAAGGCGUCGCAUGCAAAUUGAGCAUGAAGGUUUUACGGUCAUCCUGCAAGGAAUCACCUCCUCGGUCAGCAAGUGUGAUACAUUGAACAACAUUCAGCUUGUGAGCAUGGAAAAACAAUCAGUAGUCGCCUAUGCAGUCCACCUCUGUUAUGCCCAGGAUUCGGAGAACAUCACUGACAUUCCAACUUUGGAUUACGGUCCUUUGAUUUGCUGGAAAAUAGUGAAAUGCUAUUGGUCCCAUUACGAAUUAUCCGUGCCAAUGUCGAUAUUGCCCUCGGACCUCCAAUAUAUAAGGGCCCUCACUCUAGCUGAAUGGCAGAGCCACCAACCCACCACACACCACAGGAGUUCUCUUCUCCCGUACGAUUGUGAGGCCAAGGAGAUGGAGGCGAAGAAGAGAGCGGCCGCUGUUGCCACCCUGUGCAUGCUCCUCCUCCUCAUGCUCCUCCUCCUUACAUUGAUAGAAUAUGUUUUCUUUUCACAAAGGGAAAAGGAAUCAUCUGUUCUGAUGAUCUUGGCCCUUUUUGCAGAUGCUGAGGCUUGUAAGCAUUGGUGCUUGGGCGCCAACUAA
rnacentral:rRNA from 1 species